GACGAACGCUGGCGGCGUGCUUAACACAUGCAAGUCGAACGGGAAGGCCCUGCUUGCAGGGUACUCGAGUGUCGAACGGGUGAGUAUCACGUGGGUGAUCUGCCCUGCUCUUCGUGGGAAGCCUGGAAGACUGUGUCUAUUAUCGGAGAUGAGCCAUUCUGCGUGUUAGGGGUGGAAAGAUUGUUGGGUGUGGGGUGAGCUCGCGGCCUAUCAGCUUGUUGGUGGGGUGAUGGCCUACCAAGGCGGCGACUGGUAGCCGGCCUGGGAGGGUGGACGGCCAACUUUGGGCUGGGAUAAGGCCCAGACUCCCUCGGGGGGCAGGCGUGGGGAAUAUUGCACAAUGGGGGGGAGCCUGAUGCAGCGAAGCCGGGUGGGGGAUGACGGGCCUCGGGUUGUAAACUCCUUUCGCUCGGGACGAAGCUUUUUGUGACGGUACCUAGAUAAGAAGCACCGGCUAACUACGUG
rnacentral:rRNA from 1 species